UACGUAGGGACCGAGCGUUGUCCGGAAUCAUUGGGCGUAAAGAGCGUGUAGGCGGCCUUUUAAGUCCUGCGUGAAAUCCUGCGGCUCAACCGCAGACGGUCGUGGGAAACUGGAAGGCUAGAGUGCGGGAGAGGAAAGUGGAAUUCCCGGUGUAGUGGUGAUAUGCGUAGAUAUCGGGAGGAACACCAGUGGCGAAGGCGGCUUUCUGGGCCUUACCUGACGCUGAGACGCGAAAGCGUGGGGAGCGAACCGG
rnacentral:rRNA from 1 species